rnacentral:rRNA from 1 species
AACGAACGCUGGCGGCAGGCUUAACACAUGCAAGUCGAGCGCCCCGCAAGGGGAGCGGCAGACGGGUGAGUAACGCGUGGGAAUCUACCCAUCUCUAUGGAAUAACGCAUGGAAACGUGUGCUAAUACCGUAUACGUCCUUCGGGAGAAAGAUUUAUCGGAGAUGGAUGAGCCCGCGUUGGAUUAGCUAGUUGGUGGGGUAAAGGCCUACCAAGGCGACGACCCAUAGCUGGUCUGAGAGGAUGAUCAGCCACACUGGGACUGAGACACGGCCCAGACUCCUACGGGAGGCAGCAGUGGGGAAUAUUGGACAAUGGGCGCAAGCCUGAUCCAGCCAUGCCGCGUGAGUGAUGAAGGCCCUAGGGUUGUAAAGCUCUUUCACCGGUGAAGAUAAUGACGGUAACCGGAGAAGAAGCCCCGGCUAACUUCGUGCCAGCAGCCGCCGUAAAAC